AUUGAACACUUGCGGCAGGCCUAACACAUGCAAGUCGAACGAGUGGCGGCCGGGUGAGUAAUGUCUGGGAAACUGCCCGGUGGAGGGGGAUAACUACUGGAAACGGUAGCUAAUACCGCAUUCCCUCGGAUGUGCCCAGAUGCGAUUAGCUAGUAGGUGGGGUAAUGGCUCACCUGGGCGACGAACCCUAGCUGGUCUGAGAGGCUGAACAGCCACACUGGAAAUGUGACAGGGGCCAGAGUCCUGCGGGAGGCAGAAGUGGGGAAUAUUGCACACUGGGCGCAAGCCUGAUGCAGCCAUGCCGCGUGUAUGAAGAGGGCCUUCGGGUUGUAAAGUACUUUCAGCAGGGAGGCGUUCCCCGCAGAAGAAGCACCGGCUAACUCCGUCCCAGCAGCCGCGGUAAAC
rnacentral:rRNA from 1 species